rnacentral:rRNA from 1 species
UUGUGGUUAAAAAGCUCGUAGUUGGAUCUCAACAGCCUUGAAGCGGUUAACUUUGUAGUUUUACUGCUUUAUAGGCUGUGCUUUUGCUGGAGGUUUAGGGGUGCUCUUGAUCGAGUGUCUCUGGAUGCCAGCAGGUUUACUUUGAAAAAAUUAGAGUGCUCAAAGCAGGCUAAAAUGCCUGAAUAUUCGUGCAUGGAAUAAUAGAAUAGGAUGUCGAUCCUAUUUUGUUGGUUUUCGGGACUCGACAUAAUGAUAAAUAGGGACAGUCGGGGGCAUUUGUAUUCAAACGACAGAGGUGAAAUUCUUGGACCGUUUGAAGACAAACUACUGCGAAAGCAUUUACCAAGAAUGUUUUCAUUAAUCAAGAACGAAAGUUAGAGGUUCGAAGGCGAUUAGAUACCGCCCUAGUUCUAACCAUAAACGAUGCCAGCUAGCGAUCUGCCUGCGUUUUUACUGUAGACUGGGCAGGAAGCUUCCGGGAAACCAAAGCAUUUGGGUUCCAGGGGAAGUAUGGUUGCAAAGCUGAAACUUAAAGGAAUUGACGGAAGGGCACCACCAGGGAGUGGAGCCUGUGGCUUAAUUUGACUCAACACGGGAAAUCUCACCAA